rnacentral:lncRNA from 1 species
GACCCACUCUACCCUGGUGGCAGCUUUGACCCAUUAGGCCUUGCUGAAGACCCAGAGGCAUUUGCUGAGCUCAAAGUAAAGGAGAUUAAGAACGGCAGACUUGCUAUGUUCUCUAUGUUUGGAUUCUUCGUUCAGGCCAUUGUUACCGGAAAGGGUCCAUUGGAGAACCUUGCUGACCACCUUGCAGACCCCGUUAACAACAACGCUUGGGCUUUCGCCACAAACUUUGUCCCCGGAAAAUGAAUAUCAUAAUAUAAUUUUUUAAUUUUGAUUGUUCGAUGGCCCUGUAAAGUAGUUGUGACUUACUUGAUAAUAGAAUGGUUCUUUUUUCCAUAUUCCAGUGAUUGUGUAGUUCUGAGUUACAUUUUCCAAAUCUACGAAUCAAAUAUUGCCACUUCCAUACCAAAGGGGAAAUUAAAGAAAGAGAACAGAGCAAAAAGACUGAAGAUACAUAUGAGAUGUGGUAACAAGAAAAACUAUAAAGCUGUUGUAAGCUUAAAACUUGAAUUUUCAGACCAGAGGAACUUAUGGAAUUCAGUUAAUUCUCGAGAAACAAUACUCAAAAUUAGUGUAAAGUACUAAUGUUGAACAACAUGAUGUUAUUACAUGAUUCCUCAUUUAUCUAUCGAAAAGUGAGAGGAAAUAAGAGGACAUUGUUUCAUUUCACUACCAGAACAUUGAGACAGGGGAAGAAAACCAAUAUGUUUUGUAGUCUGAAUGUAGUAAGUAAUAUAUGAGUUUCCAGGUCCAUACAGUAUGUCUCCUUUGAACAAAUUCAUAAAUUUCUUGUAAAAUCCUCCUGCCUCACAUGAGGUACUAUCUUUAGAUUAAAAGCAUCCUUGACAGAUCCUUCAAAACAAGGUACAUAGUAAUGACCAGAGCACAAAGGACAUACAUAUGUAGUUAGAAGAAGACACAAGUACUGCUAAAUAUGACACUUAUUGGCAACAAAUUCAAGUUCCAUGCACUAAUAACGUAAACAAUAUUUACACAAAUUACUUAGUAAGUAAUUAAAGGUAAAUCACUUGAUAACAUUAAUCGGUAGUCUGGUAAAAAAUGGGAAUUGCCUACUAUCACACGUUAAAAUUUACUGAUGUAACUUCUAUUUCCCUUAACGCAGCGCAAAAUUGUGAUGCUGAUGAAUUCCAACAAAUUAAAAUCUUUGCUCAUAUUCUUCUGAACAAGCUCUUUCCAAGGCUCAGCAUUGCUCAUGUAGUAGUUAAGUAACACGUACUAAGCCGCAUUAAAUCUCUAAACCUAACAGUAUUGUGAAUGAGCAUAAAACAAUAUAACCUGUGUGGCUAACAUAAACAACUUUGGUAAUUAAGGUCUAAUAUAAUAAAGUUUCAAUCACAUUGCUUUCCAAACAUAAAGAUGCAUUAUUAAGUUCCCAAAAUUUAUGAAUCAAGUAGUAAUAAAUUUCAACUUUUCCUCAAAUUUCCUAAACCAUAGUUCUACAUUGAAUGAAGUAUAGUGGUGGUAUGUUUUACCCUGCAGGUAGAUAAAAUCUAGAGAAAUGCCAAGUGGAUAAUGAUAGGGAUAUCAUAUUGUAAGCUCAACAAAUCACAGGGCAGAUUCCAAUCCUUGUGGCAACAUAUGAGAGGACAAUAUUGGUUGUGUCCCUUGCUGGAAAAUUGAUGGAUUGGAGAUUGCUAAAUGUGCAUAAUUGCUACAAGUAGGAUCUUGAUAGCCAAUGAGAUCAUAGAUAUAGAUUUCACUAGAUAAGGACUCUUUCCCUCUUUCUUAAUUCCUAUAUAUGGUGAAUUAAUUCCCUUGUAACUUCAUCUCAUCACAGCCUUCAACAAUAUUUCAUACCAUCAAACACUCAACACUUUUCUCUUAAUCUAAAUCAUGGCAGCUGCUACAAUGGCUCUUUCUUCCCCUUCUUUUGCUGGACAGGCAGUGAAACUUUCACCAUCUGCCUCAGAAAUUUCUGGAAAUGGAAGGAUCACUAUGAGAAAGGCUGUCGCCAAGUCUGCCCCAUCUAGCAGCCCAUGGUAUGGCCCUGACCGUGUUAAGUACUUGGGCCCAUUCUCUGGUGAGUCCCCAAGCUACUUGACUGGCGAAUUCCCUGGUGACUAUGGAUGGGAUACCGCUGGACUUUCAGCAGACCCUGAGACCUUUGCCAAGAACCGUGAACUUGAGGUGAUCCACUGCAGAUGGGCAAUGCUUGGUGCUCUUGGAUGUGUCUUCCCUGAGCUCUUGGCCCGUAACGGUGUCAAGUUCGGCGAGGCUGUGUGGUUCAAGGCCGGAUCCCAGAUCUUCAGCGAGGGUGGACUUGACUACUUGGGCAACCCAAGCUUGGUCCAUGCACAAAGCAUCUUGGCCAUUUGGGCUUGCCAAGUUGUGUUAAUGGGAGCUGUUGAGGGAUACCGUAUUGCAGGUGGACCUCUUGGUGAGGUCGUCGACCCACUCUACCCUGGCGGCAGUUUUGACCCAUUAGGUCUUGCUGAUGAUCCAGAGGCAUUUGCUGAGCUCAAAGUAAAGGAGAUUAAGAACGGCAGACUUGCUAUGUUCUCUAUGUUUGGAUUCUUCGUUCAGGCCAUUGUUACCGGAAAGGGUCCAUUGGAGAACCUUGCUGACCACCUUGCAGACCCCGUUAACAACAAUGCAUGGGCCUUUGCCACAAACUUUGUUCCCGGAAAAUGAAUAUCAUAAAACGUUCUCUAGAUAUUAUUGUUUGAUGGCUUUGUAAAGUUUUAGUUGUGAGUUUACUUGACAAUAGAAUGGAUUUUUCUUAGUCCUGAAUUUCAUUUUCCAAUGAUGAAUGAAAUACUGCAAAAUUCAUAUUGAAGGGGAAAAUUGAUGACAAAGCAAAAAUAACAAGACCAAAGUUACAUUUGAGAUGUGGUAAAAGCUUAAACCUGAAUAUACAGACCAGAGACUUAUGGAAUUCAAUUAAUUCUCAAGAAGAAAUACUCUAACUUAGAGCCAAUAAUAACAUUGAACAACAUGAUGUUAUUUACUUUCAUGAUUCUUUAUUUUUCUGUCAAGAAGUGAAAGAGGAAUUAAGGGAAAACCAAUGUACAAUAUGUUUUAUAAUCUGAACGUAGCAAGUAAUAUAUGAGUUUCCAGGUCAUUAUACUUAUGUGUAAAGUACUAAUGUUGAAUACCAUGACGCUAUUACAUGAUUCCUCAUUUUUCUGUCGAGAAGUGAAAGAGGAAAUAAGAAGACACUGUUUCAUUUCGAUGAAAAGUGAAAACCAAUGUGGUUAAUAUAUGAGUUUACAGGUCCUUACAUUAUGUGUCCUGUGAACAAAUUCAUAAAUUUCUUGAAAAAACCAUCCUUCCUAACAUCUGAUACCAUCUUAAGAUUAAAAGAUCUUUGACAGAUCCUUCCAAACAAGGUGCAUAGUAAUGACCAGAGCCAAAGGACAUACUUGUAUAGUUAGUUAGCAGAAGAGACAUGUAAUGCUAUACAUGACACUUAUUGGCAACAAAUUUAAGCUCUAUACACUAAUAAUAUAAAAAAUAUAUACAAUCAGUUUACUUAUAAAGUAAUUAUAUGGAAAUCCGUUGAUAAACAUUACUCCAAUUGGUAGUCUCGUAAAAAUAGGGAACUGACCUACUGUCACAUAUUAAAAUUUACCGAUAGUGUAAAAACAUCUUUACACCGUCAGUGCAUAUAACUUAAAUCAACAAUUAGUAAAUUAUAUUUCUCUCAAGUCUUAACACAGCCAAUAUAUUGUGAUGCUGAUGAAUUCAAAUAAAUUAAAUUUUUUGCUCAUGUUCGUCUGAACAAGCUCUUUCCAAGUUUCAGCAUUGCUCAUCUAGCAGUUAAGUACAGGUACUAAGCCACAUUAAAUCUCUAAAAAUGAAUUAACAUUGUCUUGAAUGAGCUUAAAACAAGAUAGCAUGUGUGGCUAACAUAAACAACUUUGUCAAUUGAGGUCUAAUAUAUUAAUAAAGUUUCAAUCGCAUUGUUUUCCAUACAUAAACAUGCAUUAUUAAUUUCCCACAAUUUAUGCAUCAAGUGGUAAUAAAUUUCAACUUCUCCUCAAAUUUCCUAAACCAUAGUUCUACAUCUUUUACCCUGCAGGUAGACAAAAUCUAUAGAAAUGGCAAGUGGAUAAUGAUAGGUAUAUCAUAAUGUAAGCUCAACAAAUCACAGGGCAGAGUUCAAUCCUUGUGACCACAUAUGAUAGGACAAUAUUGAAUGUGUCCCUUCUUGGAAAAUUGAUGGAUUGGAGAUUCAAGUGUGCAUUAAUUGCCACAUAUGGGAUCUUGAUACCCAAUGAGAUCAUAGAUAUAUAUAUCACUAGAUAAGAAGAUUCUUUCUCUCUAAUUACCUCCUAUAUAUUCUGAACCCCAACUAACUUCAGCUUCAUCACAACCAACUUUGAGAUUUCAAACACCCAUCACUUUUCUCUUGUUAUAAACCAUGGCAGCUUCCACAAUGGCUCUUUCUUCCCCUUCUUUUGCUGGACAGGCAGUGAAACUCUCACCCUCUGCCUCAGAAAUCACUGGAAAUGGAAGGAUCACUAUGAGAAAGGCUGUCGCCAAGUCUGCUCCAUCUAGCAGCCCAUGGUAUGGACCAGACCGUGUUAAGUACUUAGGCCCAUUCUCUGGUGAGUCCCCAAGCUACUUGACCGGUGAAUUCCCUGGUGACUACGGCUGGGAUACUGCUGGACUUUCAGCAGACCCUGAAACCUUUGCCAAGAACCGUGAACUCGAGGUGAUCCAUUGCAGAUGGGCUAUGCUUGGUGCUCUUGGAUGUGUCUUCCCUGAGCUCUUGGCCCGUAACGGUGUCAAGUUUGGUGAGGCUGUGUGGUUCAAAGCUGGAUCCCAGAUCUUCAGCGAGGGUGGACUUGACUACUUGGGCAACCCAAGCUUGGUCCAUGCACAAAGCAUCUUGGCCAUUUGGGCUUGCCAAGUUGUGUUGAUGGGAGCCGUUGAGGGAUACCGUAUUGCUGGUGGACCGCUUGGUGAGGUUGUCGACCCACUCUACCCUGGUGGCAGCUUUGACCCAUUAGGUCUUGCUGAUGACCCAGAGGCAUUUGCUGAGCUCAAGGUAAAGGAGAUUAAGAACGGUAGACUUGCUAUGUUCUCUAUGUUUGGAUUCUUUGUUCAAGCUAUUGUCACCGGAAAGGGUCCAUUGGAGAACCUUGCUGACCACCUUGCAGAUCCAGUUAACAACAAUGCCUGGGCCUUCGCCACAAACUUUGUUCCCGGAAAAUGAAUAUCUUAAAAUGUUCUCAAAGAAUAUGAUUGUUUGAUAGCCUUGUAAAGUUGUAAUCGUGAGUUUACUAGACAAUAGAAUGGAUUUUUCUUAUAUUCCAAUUAUGGUGUUGUCUAUAAGUUUGCUUUCCAAUGGCAUGAAUGAAUCAUAUCAAAGGGAAAAAAAAAGAUGACAGAGCAAAAACAAAAACCCAAGAUACAAUUGGGAUGUGGUAAAAGCAUAAAACUUGAACAUACAGACCAGAGGAACUAAUGGAAUUCAAUUAAUUAUCAACAAGAAAUACUCUAAUUUAGUGCCAAGAAUAACAUUGAACAACAUUGUGUUAUUUAUUUACAUGAUUCCUUAUUUUUCUGUCAAGAAGUGAAAGAGGAAUUAAGAGGACAUAAUAUUAUUUCACUACUAGACCAUUUACAUUUCAAUGAUAAUGGAAAACCAAUGUAUAGUAUGUUUUGUAAUCUGAAGAGAAAAAGCUCAAAAUAGUCCCUUAUCUUUGAGUUAAUGCAUGAGUUUCCAGGUCAUUAUACCUAUGUUCCCUUAGUUUAUUUAGCAUGAACAAAUUCAUAAAGUUCUUGUGUAUUUCUCCUUCGUUACAUGCAUAUGGUACUAUCUUUAGAGAAGAACAUGGCACAUAGCAAUGACCAGAGCCAAAAGGACAUAGUAAGCAGAAUAUACUAGUAAGCUAUACAUGCAUGACAUUUAUUAGAGAGGUAAUUAAGUUCUCGCUGUAAAAAAUACUUAAACCAUAUCACUUAUUAACACAGGCAGAGGUAGACUACAGCGAUGAAUGGAAUGUCCCACAUCAGUGAAUGAAUGAAAUCCUGGCCUCCUUAUAAGGCUUGGGCAAUAUUAUUUCCUUUGAGCUAGCUUUUGGGGUUGAGUUAGGCUCAAAAUCCGUUUUAUACAUCCAACAUUAAAUAUGUACGACUUACACAACUAAACUUAGAAUCCAUUUACUAAAAACCAAGUAGUUUUGGUCCACCUCAUGUAUAUGUAAAGAAAUAAAGUUCAAAUCUUGAUCCAUCUUUACUUAUUAAGUAAUUACAGGUUAAUCUUUUGAUAAACAUUAAAUGAUAAUAUGAUUAAAAUGAAUUCCAGCUUUUCCUCAAUUUAUUUAGUGAAAGGUUACAUUAUAGUUCUAGAUUGAAUGAGCUAUAGUGCUGAAAGAUAAAAUCUGGAGAAAUUACCAAUGGAUAACUGACAAGAGAUAUCAGUAUUGUAAGCUCAACAAAUCACAGGGUAGAGUUCAAGCCACACAUAGGAGGACAAUAUUGGUUGGGUCCCUUUAGUAAACAUCUUGGAAAAUUGAUGGAUUAGAGAUUGUCAAGUUGCAUUAAUUGCUACACAUGGAAUCUUGAUACCCAAUGAGAUCAUAGAUAUGAAUAUCACUAGAUAAUUAGGACUCUUUCCCUCUUAAUUACUCCCUAUAUAUGGUGAAUUAAUUCCCUUUGUAACUUCAUCUCACCACAGCCAAAUUCAACAGUAUUUCAUACCAUCAAAUUUAUAUAUCGAAACUAUAAUAAGGGGAGGACUAAACGCAAAAGAGUUUCUUCUUAUGAGUUAACUAUACAUUAUAAACAUUUAUCAUUUUACUUUUCAUAGUUUUGUUGCAACUCAAAUACAAUUUUAAAAGAAAUUAUGUGAUUUUUAAUAAUUCAUAUUCAUCGUUAUGGAGUACACAUGCAACGCACGUGAGUGCCAAGAAUAACAUAGAACAACAUGAUGUUAUUUACAUUAUUCCUUAUUUUUCUAUCUGAGAAGUGAGAUGAUUUAAGUGUACCUAACAUUAUUUCACUACUACAUCAUUGACAUUUCAUUGAUGAGGGAAAACCAAUGUGUAUGUUAUGUAAUCUGAACGUAGCAAGUAAAAGCAUCUAUGCGACUGCUUAUAUAACAGAGGCAGAUAUAUAUCCUCCAAAUAUUGCAUAUAGUAACGAGUAACGACCAGAGCCAAAAUUAAGGAAAUAGUAAGCAGAAGAUACAAGUAACUGAGUAAGCUAUACAUGAAAGGAAAUUAAGUUCUAAGCAUUGACAUUGUAAAAAUGCUAAUGCUCAUGUCACUUAUUAACAGGGGCAAGGGUAGGCUUCAUCAUACAUGUUUGUUUGACAGAACCAAUUAAGUAGCUUUGGUUCAAACCAUAUAUAUAUGUGUUAAGAAACAAACAAAUUAAAUAAAAGAAUCCAUUUACUAGUAAUUAAAUUAAACAUAUAUAGAAUGUUCUAUGACUAUAUAUACCUCUUCAUGACCAUAAGAUUUUCAAAAAUCCAUGCAUGGACCUUGGUUAAAAAAAAUGAUAUUCUGCAUUGCCUUAAUGUCGCCAAAUGCUUUAGUGACUCUUGGAUGCAAUGACAUUAAAUCAAAGCUGCUAAAUGUUUUUGCGGAAAAUCUAUUGUCAUUGAAUGUCUCUUUUGUUGUAGAGAUAUGUGUUAAAGAAAUUCAUUACAUAUAUACACAAAUUAAAUUUAGAAUCCGUUUACUAGUACUUAAGAUCAUCGUCCUAGAUUUCAGAACCCAUAAAGUUCAAAUCUUGAUCCACCUUUGCUUAUUAAGUAACUAGUUAUAGGGAACGUGCGUUGCACGUUUGUUUCCUACUAUUUUAUAAAAUCAUAAUUUUAUGUUGAUAGUUAUUUAUCGCAUAAUUUAUUUUUAUAGAUAUGCCAAAACUUGUAUUGAUUAAUAUGUAUAUGUAUAAAGUUUACAUUUUCAUCCAAAAGAAAAAAUAAAGAUUCGAAAUAUAGUCGUCUAGACUAAGAUAUAUUCUAGUAAAUAUAUAUAUAUGUUUUCUCUAUACAGACACAACCAUUUAGAUUAAUAUUAUAGUUUUAUUUUUACUUAUUUGUUUGACAGCUAAGAAAUACUCAAAUAUGUAAAAUCAAUUAAGAUUAUAUAACACCUAAUCUAAUAAGAUGAAUAUUAGCUUUAAAUUUAAGAAUAAAAUAUACAACAUUAUGGAGUAUUAUCUUCUAUAAAUAUUAUAUGAUAAUAAUACAUCAUCAUUUUUAUUUUUUUAUUUUUAUCUUACUGUCUACUUUCAUUUUCAUUUUCCUCUCUUACUAUGUACAUAUAUAAAUAUUUCCCACUUUGUGCCUACAUUCAUUCAGAUUCUUCAAUUUCCACGUUUAUGAAAAAUCCAAUGUUAUGGAAAAUUAACCCAAAAUCAUUUUUUAAACUAAAACUUCUAGUAUUUUAAUUUUAAUAUAAAUUUAAAAUGCUCCAAUACAAAAAGGGAAAUGACAUAAGAAGAAAAUUAUACUGACACAAGAGAUCACGUAGCUUCAGAUCAAAAUUAUUGUAGGACUCACGAUCCUUAUUUUCUUUCUUCUUCUUAUUUCACCUCAUGAUAAGCUUUAACUGAAAUUACAAAAUGAUCUUGUAUUGUUAAUGCCUUGGUAUGUCACAUCUUUACAUUAUACUUAUUUCUAUAAAAUUCAGACUAUGAAGAAUUUGGACUUGGGAUAGAAAAUGUGAGAUGGUGAAUGCAUAUGAUGUGUCUGUUUGUACAUAGUAUUUUGGGAUAAGCGUCUGAAAAAUACCCCAACUUUGGUCGGAUUUGCUGUUGCGAUACUAAACUUUUCACGAGGACCUAUUACCUCCCUAGACUAUUUAAUACCGUAUUUUAAACAUAUAUAUUUGUCCACGUGGACAUAAAAAAUAAUGCAAAAUUAUAAAUAGUAAUGUGUCCACGUGGGCACAUAUAUACCUUUAAAAUACACUAUUAAAUUGUUCAGGGGGUAAAAAAUACGAUAUUAAAUAGUCGAGAGAAAUAAUAAGUCCUCGUGAAAGUUUAGUAUCGCAACAGCAAAUUCGACCAAAGUUGAGGUAUUUUUCAGACCCUUAUCCCUAGUAUUUUCAAAAUUUAAGAAAAGAGUCAUUUCUCUUUUUUAUGAAGCUAUAACUAAGAAUUUUUGAAGAUUUCGAUAUUGGCAUGUGUAAUUGAAGAACAAAAAAGUGUCUAAUGAUGUAACGGAAGAAAAAAAAAGAGAUUGUUAAUAAUUUCGCGACUUAACUUUUCUUUUCAAUACCUUAAAUGUAUUAAAAAGAAAUUAAAUAGAAGAAAAUGCCACUUAACUUUUAUAGGGCCCUUUUGUAAUCGAACUUUCAAUUAUAAGGUUAUCGUAUUACACGUGCAAUACAAUAAUGUUUGACAGACGUCCCCUCAGAAUUUGGCUCGUCGUUUAUUAUCUGGCAUAACCAUUUAAGAUGAGAAACAACAACAUCUUUCUUCUUACCCCAUUCACGAAUCCUUAUAUGAAAUUCAGCCGCAACAAUUAAUAAAUAAACACCUUGAAUUGAUGUCAAAAUGAACGCUUAAUAUAUAUAUAUAUAUAUAGAAAGAGAGAGAAAGAGAGAGAGAGGUGGAGCUACAUACAAAUUUAGCAUCAUAUAUAAUUGCUUAUUUCUAAGGUAUAGAAUGAAUAAUGUCAAAUACUCGGUGCAGAUAAAGUUAUGCCUUUCAAUAUUAUGAAUUACCAAAUAUAAGGAAAGAAUAUUAAUCAUAAAAUACCAUACAUAAAAAAAUAAACUAUCACAAUUAUAUUGAUGUAGAAUAAACACAAACUUACUUUCUUGAAGCUUGUUAUAAGAUUAUAGGAACUCAUUCUCAUGUUCGAAUUCAAUUAUACAUCCUUGACUAAAUUUUUAUUGCUGCAACAAAAAAAUAUCCAAAAAAUUUAACAAUCAAAUAUUUUGUUUAAAUAACUAUCAAAGAAAAAUCAACUACAAAAAAAAUAAUAUAAUAUUUUCUAAUACAAUUGAGAAUCUAAUAAUUAGAAAAUUAAAAAACACAUGAACCAUAGAAAAUGUUGAUAGGUCUGGAAUAUAUAUAGUAAGAGGAUGCAUAUUUUUUUGACUUAUGAAAUUCUUCUUUAAUAGACAAAUAAAUAAAGAAAAGAUCAAUUGAAUAGAUAAGAUGAAUAUGAACAUUUCAAAUUUUAUUUUUCCAACCUUUGAGAUUCUCAUCAAACGUAAUUAAUUGGUUAAUAUGUGGUCACUUCCCAUUUAAUUGAUUAUUGUCAUUUAUUAGAUGGUAAAUUUAUUAUUUGGUACAAAAAUAUCAUAGAAUCAGUAUUUAAAUUAGGGGUAGUAACGUUGAUUAAUUUUAAUGUAGAUUUUUGUACUUAUUUUAUUUUAAACUUAUGUUUUCCUACUUUUAAAUAACUUACAAUUCAAAAAAUAAUUAAAAUAAUAUUAUUUAAUUAGUUAGAUGUUUAAUUUAAUCUAGGGGUAAAAUGGUAAUUCAACUUUCAUCUUUGGAGCUUCCCACUUAUAAUAAUAUUAGAUUCACUGCACGUGCGUUGCACGUGUAGGUUAAGUCCUGAGAUCCCUAUACACGAUAUAUUUUAUAUUUUAUGUAUAUUUUAGGCUUUCAACAUAUCAAUAUGCAUUUAAUAUUGCACUACGUCAUACUAAGUAAAUGGCCAAUCUAUUUGCCUUCUUGCUUGUUCGUCAUGUGGUGACGAACGUCGUAUUCUUAAAUUGUUAUUAGGCAAUUUGUUAGUAAGUAAUUGUGCACGAAUUAACUGGUUGCCCUCUUAGUUAUGUCGUGUCAUGAACUGUAUGCUCCCUUUCAAUAUUUGAAAUUCAAUGUACCCUGUAUUUGAAUAACUUUAUAUACGCAAAAGUAAUAUCUUCUGUCGUAGAUGUCUGUUGUUUUUCAUAUCGUCUCCUCUUCCACCAAAACUAAGAAUUCUUCCAAUAUAAUUUUCAUUAGCUACAUGUGUGGUGUAUGUUUUUUCCUGUUUGAUUUCUUACAAUUUUGGUAUUAAUCAAAUCUCACCUAAUACUUUCUUGUAGACAGUAUUUUCUUGUGUUUAUCCCGAUGUAUCAAUCUGGUUGUUAAGUCAUGACCUGCACUUUUUUUGUUGACAUAGAUAUUCCUCUAGAUAGUGCAACAUAUAGUUUGCCAUGUGAGAAAGCAUGUUGUGGUAGGUAUACUCCUACAUUUGAUAUCGUUUGACUUUUAGCUUUAUUUAUCAUCAUUGCAAAAACAUAGACAUAUUGGAAAUUGUUUCCGAAUAAAUUUGAAAGGGUAUUGUUGUUUUUUCUGCAUGUAUGACAUUCUCGUCAAAGCCUCUACAAAACAACCAUGCCCCAUUGCAUAAGCCAAUUGAAGGGUCCAGUUUUCUCAGCAGCAUGAUGGGCGCAUUUUCUUUCAAAACUAACCUAAUGUAUAAAAUUAAAAGAAUCAUCAAUUGUUAUGUAUAUGUAAUCCUGUAAUUGUUUUCUUCUCUUUUAUGCUAUGAAGUAUCACAAUAAGAUAACUGUAAAAGUUAGGAUGUAUUAAACAACGUACCUAUGCGGCGGAGUCCAUUGGUUGUUAAGGUGUUUAGGUAUAAAUACAGUUCAUAUCUUUACUGAGGUCGAUUCUAUGUAGUCUUGCAUGCUGCAGCCUAGUAAAUAUUUAGCCUCUUCAAAAUAGUAUUUGGUAGUUAAAUUUCAGUCGUCAUGUGGGAUGGAGCUUGAUGACUACCAUUGGGAGAUGAGAGUGACAAUGUUAAUUCUAUGCGUUAUUGUGUAUUAGUACCAUUGAUGAGGGCGGCAAAUGGUCGAAAUCGACAUAAUUAGGCAGGAAUUUAUUGCAUAAAAGAGGGUGUCAUUAAGAUGUAAAGUGCAUCUAAAGUAAGGUUAGAAGUAACAUAUAUAUGUAAAGUAUGUGUCUAAAAUUGGCAGGAGACUGUAUGUGAGCAGGUUAACCAAUAAUAGGUUGUAUAAGUAAUGCUUCACUGUGAAGAAACAAAGUUAAUUAGUGGUGUAAAGUAUGUGUUUACAAUUGCCAGGGGACUGUAAGCAAGCAGGUGAACUAAUAAAUAUAUAAUUGCAUUAAUAAAAAUACUUAUCUCAUAAAAUUAGCUAUCAAAUAAAUUAUACAAAUUAAACUAAUACAAACUUCAACUGGCAUUAUUACAAGUCAUAUGAACUUUUCUUCAUCUAAAAUACUGAAAUAUUAAGAAAUAAUAAAUAAGUAGAACAAAACGGCAAUGUUUAUAUAGUAAUAAAUUCAUUCUUUUGUCUUGAGCAUCAAAAACAAAUCGUGACAAUUCUCUAAAUUUUGAAAAAAGAUAUUUAGAAGCAUAUAUCUACUUCACAAGAGAAAUUGUUAACAAAAACAAAUGAAUUUAGACUACAUUAUGUUAACUUCAUUUAUUGGAACAUUACAUACUAAUGUAUAUAUUAAGCAAAAAAAUAAUUAUUAUAUCAUAAAAUUAUAUUAUUUUCCUCAAGUACUCGAGGUAAUGGAAUAUACCCUCUUAGGAUAGAACGACUUACUUCAUCAGAAUAGUGGUACCUCAUAUUAUGCUAAAUUUCGAACUCACUCAACGACAAUAAAUCAUACCAAAAAAAUUAAAAUGCAAGAAGAAGAAGAAGAGUAGAAGAUUAAAAAAAAUGUGGUUGAAAAAUGAGAGGAAGUCCAUCUAUUUAUAUUCAACAAAGGGUAGUAUGAACAAAAAAAAUUUGUGUCUUAUCUAAAAAAUCAUGACCUUUCCGAGAAGUCACAACACUUUGGAAAAUUAACAACUUUUUGAAAAAGUCACAACUCUUUGGAAAAGUUACAACUUAUUGAAAAAUUCACAAUUCUUUGGAAAAGUCACAACUUAUUGAAAAACUCACAACUCUUUGGAAAAGUCACAACUCAUCGAAAAAUCAUAACCCUUCGAAAAAAGUCACAACUUAUUGGAAAAGUCACAAGUAUUCGAAAAAGUCACAACCUAAGUUAGGGAUAUUAUAGUAAUUUAACAUUCAAGUUAGGAGUUCAUGUUUUUAAGGUAAUAUAGAUAUGAUUAGAGGUUAAACAUGAAGUGAUAAUAUGAUACAAACGAAUUUCAGCUUUUCCUCAAUUUAUUUAGUGAAAGGCUUAACCAUAGUUCUACAUUGAAUAAGCUAUAGUGCUGAUAGAUAAAAUUUGGAGAAAUUCCCAAUGGAUAAUGAUAAGAGAUAUCAGUAUUGUAAGCUCAACAAAUCAGAGGGUAGAGUUCAAUCCACACAUAGGAGGACAAUAUUAAUUGGAUGGGUCCCUUUAGUAAACAUCUUGGAAAUUGAUGGAUUGGAGAUUGGCAAGAUUGCAUUAAUUGCUACACAUGGUAUCUAGAUACCCAAUGAGAUCAUAGAUAUAGAUAUCAUUAGAUAAUUUGGACUUUUUCCCUCUUAACUACUCCCUAUAUAUGGUGAAUUAAUUCCCUAGUAACUUCAUCUCAUCACAACCAACUUCAACAAUAAUUCAAACCCUCAAACACUUUACUUUUCUCUUCAGAUAUAACCAUGGCAGCUGCAACAAUGGCUCUUUCUUCCCCUUCUUUUGCCGGACAGGCAGUGAAGCUUUCACCAUCUGCCUCAGAAAUUACUGGAAAUGGAAGAAUCACUAUGAGAAAGGCUGUCGCCAAGUCUGCCUCGUCUAGCAGCCCAUGGUAUGGACCAGACCGUGUUAAGUACUUAGGCCCAUUCUCUGGUGAGUCCCCAAGCUACUUGACCGGUGAAUUCCCUGGUGACUACGGGUGGGAUACUGCUGGACUUUCAGCAGACCCUGAAACCUUUGCCAAGAACCGUGAACUCGAGGUGAUCCACUGCAGAUGGGCUAUGCUUGGUGCUCUCGGAUGUGUCUUUCCUGAGCUCUUGGCCCGUAACGGUGUCAAUUUUGGUGAAGCUGUGUGGUUCAAGGCUGGAUCACAAAUCUUCAGCGAGGGUGGACUUGACUACUUGGGCAACCCAAGUUUGGUCCAUGCACAAAGUAUCUUGGCCAUCUGGGCUUGUCAAGUUGUGUUGAUGGGAGCCGUUGAAGGUUACCGCAUUGCUGGUGGGCCUCUUGGUGAGGUUGUCGACCCACUCUACCCCGGUGGCAGUUUUGACCCAUUAGGUCUUGCUGAUGAUCCAGAGGCAUUUGUUGAGCUCAAAGUUAAGGAGAUUAAGAACGGCAGACUUGCUAUGUUCUCUAUGUUUGGAUUCUUUGUUCAGGCCAUUGUUACCGGAAAAGGUCCAUUGGAGAACCUCGCUGACCACCUUGCAGAUCCAGUCAACAACAAUGCCUGGGCCUACGCCACAAACUUUGUUCCCGGAAAAUGAAUAUCAGCAAACAUUCCAUAAAUUUCAUUGUUUGAUAUAUAGCCUUUUAAAGUUGUAAUUAUGAGUUUUCUUGACAACAGAAUGGAUUUUCUAAUAUCCCAAUUAUUGUGUAGUCCUGAAUUUAAUUUUCCAAUGCUAUAAAUGAAAUACUGCCAGUUUCAUAUCAAAGGGGAAAAAAAGUAGGCAGUCCAAAAACAAAACACAAGAUACAUUAGGGAUGUGGUAAAAGCUUAAAAGUUGAAUACUGACUAGAGGAACUUAUAAUACUCUAACUUAGUGCCAACAAUAACUUACACGAUUACUUAUUUUUCUCUCUGGGAAUUGAGAUGAAUUAAGAGGACAUAAUAUUAUUUCACUACUACACCAUUGACAUUUCAAUGAUGACGGAAAACCAAUGUGUAUGUUCUGUAAUCUAAAUGUAACAAGUAAAAGCAUCUGCGUGGCUGCUUAUAUUAUAGAGGCAGGUAUCCUCCAAACAUGGCAUAUAGUAACGACCAGAGCCAAAUAUAAGGACAUAGUAAGCAGAACUAAGUUAUAUAUAACACUUCUUUGAAAGGAAAUUAAGUUCUAUGCAUUGACAUUGUAAAAAUACUAAUACUCAUAUCACUUAUUAGCAGGGGUAGCUAGCCUUCAUCAUACCGGUUUUCUAGAAGCAAUUAAGUAGCUUUGGUCCAAACCAUAUAUAUGUCUAUUUACUGGUACUUAAUCCCAUGAACCAAUGUUUAUGUUGUUGUUUGUUGUUACUAGUACUUAAGGUCGUCAUCCUAGAUUCUAGAGCGCAUAAUGUUCAAAUCUGUAGGUCCAAGUCUCAGCAUUGCUUGCCAUGUAGUAGUUCAAAUUCACGUACUAAACCGUCGUUGAACCUCUAAAAAUUAAAUUAACAUUGCAACAUAUAUAGAACCUUCAAUGACUAUAUAUACCUCUUCAUGACCAUAAGAUUGUAAAAAAGUCCAUGCAUCGACCUUAGUUAAGAAAACAUUUUUUGAAAAGAAGUAUGACAUUCUACAUUGCCUGAAUUUGUAAAAUCCAAAACCAGUAUUUCACUUUUAUUGGAACUCAAAUAACUACGAUAUUGACUCUUGUGCUUAUGCUUCAUACUAGUUUUGAGCACGUGCGUUGCACGUGUAUUCGAUGCUAAUAGUUUAAACUUCUUAAAACAUUAGAAAUAACACCAAAACUGAAAGUGAAGGAUACAUGCUCAAUUGAUGAAUAGUUAAAUCGAUAUUCACUAUCAUCACAAAGUACAUCACACCAAAAGUUAAUAUCAAAUGAAGUUGAAAUGAUCCCCUUAGUUUUAAGAAAGAAAGAAAGUUCCUUCAGCAUUGUAUUCUAUUACUUUGAUAACUACUACUAUAGUUAGCAGUUGUAUACAGUCAACAAAUUGUAUAACGUUUUCUUGUAUAGUGCUUUUACUCUACCAAAUAUUCGGCCUAAAUGAUAUUUCAACGACAAAUAGUGUGGAUAUGAGCAACACCACUAAUGGUUACAAAUACUUCAGGCCUAUCAAGUAGCUAUUGUCAGAUGAAAGUAGUGUUUGUUGAAGUGUAUCAACUUAAGAGCUAAAAUAACUACAAAGGUUUGUUUCUAACUAGAUGUACCCAAACCCAAACAACUAUAUCAAGUUAGUUAACAAGAAAUUAGCACAUAUCCAAAACACACAAGCAAGUUAAAACAAAUAAAUGCUAAAUAGUAAUAAGUAAAAGCGACCCUCCAAAUGAAUUUUGCUUGCUAUUUGCAUAGUCUAGGAUAUCGACUUCAUGUGCGGGUAUGAUGAUGUUGAGUCCAUGAGACUCUAAAUUUGCGAGAGUCCUUAAUCGGGACUCCAUUUUUUGCUCCAAAAGUUCAUGCAAGUAGAAAGAGGGUAAAAAGAUUAGUAAGACUAUUCAACUUUAAACAAUAUACUAAAUAAGAAUAGAUAGAGCUAAGUAAGGUUACACUUCAAAUACAUUAUUUUUAACACGUAAAUAAGCAUGAGAGCCAAACAAUAUGAUCACUUUUGUAAUUAGUGACUUUCGAACACAACAUCAAAGCAACUAUAUAUUUUAAACAUCAUUUAAGCACUAUAUAAAAUCAAACAAGAUUUAUUUUUUUACAGAUGCCACUGCUUACAAUUUUUGAAGAAAACACGUAACAUAAUCUAAGAGGAAUUCAAAAAAUCAUAUUUAUGAAUAUAGAAUAUAGAGGGUUGCAAAUAUUAAGGAAUAAUAAUGACUUACAGUUUAUUUUUUUUAAACUAAAAUAAAGUAAAAUUAUAUCCCUUAAGCAAUGUUUCUGCAUAUAAUCCAAUGAGCUGAAUUUUCUUAACACACCAAAAGAUAAUUAAUUUAAAAAAAAAAGAUUUCGUGCAGCUGACUCAUCCCAAUCACUUUUAAAGGUUAAGCUAACUAGACGUGAAAGGAGAGCAUCAGUUUUCUAAUAACUAACUAAGAGAAAUUGAUUGAUAUACGACAUUCUUAAAAUAGAAGAGCACAUUAUAAAUUAUGUAGAUAGAAACAGAGAAAACAUGGGAGGCGAGUAUAACCUGUUGCGGGGCAGUGAACGAGGUGCUUCAAUCGAAGGUAAUCUCAAACCACGACUAACUCGAGCAAACUUACAACCAGAGAUUUGGCUGAGAUCGCAACAGAAUACAAAAGGUAAUUUUGAGAGCAAAAGACAAUAGUUCAAGACGCUAUCGGGGCAGAAGAGCUUCUUUUCAUAAGAAUGAAUAUCAAGGCUAUUAUCAAGAUCCAAAAAGUCCCCCUAAAACGAGUGGAAUAUGUUGGUAUUUAUAGCCAUGAACUAGGGUUCUUGGCUCAAGUUUGGGCGGGAUUUGAAGAAGUAAAAGUGCCGUUUUGAAUUCAAAAUUGUGCAUGUGAUUCUUCAUCAGAGAUGUCAAAAGUAUUUUGGCUUUUUGUUGACUAAAUUAAAGAAGAAAGAGUGAAUCAGGAAGGGGAAGAGGGCGCUGGCUUUUUGCAGAAGAGAGAGGUGAAACACUUGCACGAAAAUGGAGACACUAAGCUCUGCAUAAUGUUAAAGAUCUCUGAAAUUUUCUCAAAGAGGAAGAACGAUGCUGCUCUUUUGGACCAGGCGCAGCUGCAUGUACGAAUUAGAAUUAGGGCUCACGUUUGGGCUGAAUAUUUGAGUGGAUUUUGGGCUGUGCUUCUUUUAGUUUUAAAUCGGUAGUAAUUACAAUGGCAGCAUUGUCUUUUCAUAUGAUGAUAAUAUCGGGGAAAUGAUCAAAAUGGUCCUUAAUGUAUGGACUUUGAUUCCAUUUGGUCCUUAAUAUAUGAACUUCAUGGAAAUGGUCCUUUAUGUAUCAUAAAUUGUGAUCAAUUUGGUCCUUAACCCUAAAAUUAAUAUAUUUUAUUUUUUUUGCCAUCAAAAUACACGGAAUAUGUAAAAGAUGCGCUCGUUCAAGACUUUCCUUCCCCUGUUUCCAAAAAUUCCAAAAGGGCACAUACAAUUUUUUUUUUCUCUUUUCUUUAAAAUCGCUGCUGUGAUUUUAUUUUUUUUAACAACGCUGUCAAGCAGCGUUUAAAAAUUAGAAAUAGCUGCUAUAGUAGCCAUUUUCUUAAAAAAGUUAAAAUUUUAUUUUAUUAAAAAUUCCCGAGGCGAGGACUGCUUAAAAAAUAAUGGGAAAUCGCUCCACGUGUAGCGAUUUUAGUUNNNNNNNNNNNNNNNNNNNNNNNNNNNNNNNNNNNNNNNNNNNNNNNNNNNNNNNNNNNNNNNNNNNNNNNNNNNNNNNNNNGCGAUUUCAGUAGAAAAAGUUUCCCAAUUGAGUUACUUUAUAAUUUUUUAUUGUAUACUUUUUGAUUGCUAGCAGCAAUUGGAAAAAAAUAAUAAAAAUUCUUACUGAAAUCGCUGCCUUGGCUGCGAUUAUUUUUUAAAAAAAAUUAACUAAAAUCGCUACACGUGGAGCGAUUUCCCAUUAUUUUUUAAAGUAGUCCUCGCCUUGGGAAUUUUUAAUAAAAAAAAAAUUUAAACUUUUUUAAGAAAAUGACUGCUAUAGCAGCUAUUUCUAUUUUUUAAACGCUGCUGGGGCAACGUUGUUAAAAAAAAAAAUCACAGCAGCGAUUUUAAAGAAAAAAGAAAAAAAAAUUGGACCUGCAGCGAUUUUUAUGUUUUUUAAAGGAGUAACGGCGUCAAUUUUGUCAGAACAAAAUCGCUUCGUCAGGAGCGAUUUUGCCCUUUUGGUUAAAAAAAAUUGAUAUGCCCUUUUGAAAUUUUUGGAAACAGGGGAAGAAAAGUCUUGAACGAGCACCUCUUUUACAUGUUCCGUGUAUUUUGACGGCAAAAAAUAAUAAUAUUAAUUUUAGGGUUAAGGACCAAAUUGAUCACAAUUUAUGAUACAUAAAGGACCAUUUCCAUCAAGUUCAUAUAUUAAGGACCAAAUGGAAUCAAACCCAUACAUUAAGGACCAUUUUGAUCAUUUUCUCUGAUAAUAUCAUUAGUAUUAAUUAGUGUACUACGGUCAGUUUAUUGUUUAAUAAUUUAAUAUUUAAUUAAUUAUACAUUUUAUGAAGAGAUUUUUGGAUUAUUAUUAUUAUUAUUAUUAAUUUAUUAUUAUAUUCAUAUAGACUAUAGAUGAUAAAUAUGUAUUAAAAUAAAUAUUUUAUAAUAUUUUAAUUUAUAAUAGGGGUAAAAUCGUAAUUCAACUUUUUAACUUUUUUUGUUCCCACUUAUAGUAAUACUAGUUCUCGAACACGUACGUUGCACGUGUAUUUCACGCUAAGUAAUUUUUUUUUAAAAAUAUUAGAUUAAAUGUGCAAUGAGUUAUAUGAAUUUUGAAAGGGAAGAUUACCUUUUUCUCUGAUUUAAACUUCUAAGUCAUUUCAUCUUUGAAUUUUAACAUAAAUAAUUAGUAAAAAUUGUAUAUAUAUAAUAUCAAAUGUAACAUGACAAGCUAUUUAAAAAUCAAUGUGUUUCAUGCAUUACAACACCGCAUUAGACAAAUAACUUCAAAUUUUGGAUUAAACCUCUAAAGUAUAUAAUCUCAUACAUAACACUUUUUUUCUAUAGUAAUCCAUGCAAUUACAUAAUAAAGUGUAACACAAAUUAAAGAUUAACAACAUAAAGACACAAUAAUUUUAACUAAUUAAUCAACAUCACCUGGGAGGUAAACUACCACGAAAUGGUUCUUUGACAAGAACUGCUUCACUUAUUGCUGCCUCAAAUCUGCAAUCGGCUAGAAGAAUCUCUAGCUUUCAAUUAUAUGAUAUAAUUUGAAUAACAAUACAGUUACCUAAAUUACUGUGCAAAUCAAUGGGAACUGCAUCCUAUACUUUUUCUAAAAAUGUUAUGUGUAUUAUAUAAAACUUAAUAGAGUACAUGAAAAGUUUUCUAAUGGAUGAAAAUUAAAAGAAUUAACAAAUUUAAAAUUAAUGGGAUAAGUGCAUAUAAUUAUAUAGUAAAAGAUAAACUACACUAAGGGCUAGACAGAUUCAUUAACUUCACAUUAAUGUUUCACAAUUUAUUGAUUUAUUAUUAAAAGGUAAAUGUAUUAUUUGAUUGAUAGUAUAAAAAUAUUCUGAAAAAGAAGUGUGUAGAUAGGGGUACAAAAUAUCCCAUAAGAAGGUGACUUAAAUGUAUAUAUUCAUGAAAUAGUGGCAAAACGAACCAACAAAAUAAUUUGUUAAUAAUUUAAAUUUAAUUAUUCUAUAUUAUUUUGUCCUUUUAUUAGAUCUUUUCUGUAUGCGCAUUCCUUGAACUUUUUUAUUCAUAUAUUUAUUUUUCCUAGUUAAUAAUUAGUCUACAUUUAAUUACUCAAUGCAACUCUUCCAAUUCUUCUAUUUAUUUAGCAACGAAGAGGCUUAUUGCGUAAAUUCAAAAGGGUCAUUUUGAUUUGAUUCAAUGCAUGUUAAAGUAGAAUACCGAGACAUUAAAUUGGUAUACAAAAUUGAAAAAUAAGUUAAGGAAGUUGAAACGAAACCAAAAUAUUGAAUAGAGGAUAAUUUUAGGAAGAUGAAAAAGCUAGCAAUUCCAAGACAUUGAAUAUAGGCUGCUGUAAUUGUGUGAUAAUUAAAAUAUUUACUCCUAUUUAAUUUAGAGUAGAUAUUUUAUUUAUUACAUUAGGGUGCAGUAAUUGUGUAACAAUUUUAAAUAUUGCUACUAAUUAGAUUAGAUAUUUUUUAUUUAGUAAAAGGGUAAAAGAGUAAUUCAACUUUGAAAAUUGAGCCUCCCACUUAUAAUAAUAUAUGAUGAUAUGAUGAUAUGAUUAUAAGGGAAAAGCAUAAACCAAGAUAAAUUGUGUGGCUAACUUUAGUGACUUUAUUAAAAUCCAAUAGUAAAUUAGUUUCAAUAGCUUGGCUUUACAUGCAAUAUUAAUUUCCCACACAAUUGAAUGAGCUAUAGUGGUGGUAAUACCAGCUUUAGAUAGAAUCUGGUGAAAUUCCCAAUGGAUAAUGAUAAGAGAUAUCACAUUGUACGCUCAACAAAUCGAAAUAAUAGAGUUCAAGACCACAUAUGAGAGAAGAACAUUGGUUGGGUCCCUUUAGCAAACAUCUUAGAAAAUGAUUGCCAAGUGUGUAUUAAUUGCUACACAUGGGAUCUUGAUACCCAAUGAAAUCAUAAAUAUAGAUAUCACUAGAUAAGGACUCUUUCCCUAUAUAUGGUGAAUUAAUUCCCUUGUAAAUUCAUCUCAUAACAGCCAACUUCAACAAUAUUUCAAUUUUCAUACCAUCAAACAAUUACUUUGUUCUCUUGAUAUAAGCACCAUGGCAGCUUCUACAAUGGCUCUCUCUUCCCCUUCUUUUGCUGGGCAGGCAGUGAAACUCUCACCAUCUGCCUCAGAAAUCUCUGGAAAUGGAAGGAUCUCUAUGAGAAAGGCCGUCGCCAAGUCUACCUCAUCUAGCAGCCCAUGGUAUGGCCCUGACCGUGUUAAGUACUUGGGACCAUUCUCUGGUGAGUCCCCAAGUUACUUGACCGGUGAAUUCCCUGGUGACUACGGAUGGGAUACCGCUGGACUUUCAGCAGACCCUGAAACUUUUGCCAAGAACCGUGAACUUGAGGUGAUCCACUGUAGAUGGGCUAUGCUUGGUGCUCUUGGAUGUGUCUUCCCUGAGCUCUUGGCCCGUAACGGUGUCAAGUUUGGUGAGGCUGUGUGGUUCAAGGCUGGAUCUCAGAUCUUCAGUGAAGGUGGACUUGACUACUUGGGUAACCCAAGCUUGGUCCAUGCACAGAGCAUCUUGGCCAUCUGGGCUUGCCAAGUUGUGUUAAUGGGAGCUGUUGAGGGAUACCGUAUUGCAGGUGGACCUCUUGGUGAGGUCGUCGACCCACUCUACCCUGGUGGCAGUUUUGACCCAUUAGGUCUUGCUGAUGAUCCAGAAGCAUUUGCUGAGCUCAAAGUAAAGGAGAUUAAGAAUGGUAGACUUGCUAUGUUCUCUAUGUUUGGAUUUUUUGUUCAAGCCAUUGUUACUGGAAAGGGACCAUUAGAGAACCUUGCUGAUCACCUUGCAGACCCAGUCAACAACAACGCAUGGUCCUACGCCACAAACUUUGUCCCCGGAAAAUAAAAAUAUUAAAACAUUCUCUAGUUUCUGGUCGUUUGAUGACCGUGUAAAGAUGUAGUGUGCUACCUGACAAUAUAAUGAAAUUUUGUU